rnacentral:rRNA from 1 species
UACGGAGGGUGCAAGCGUUGUCCGGAUUUAUUGGGUUUAAAGGGUGCGUAGGCGGCCAUUUAAGUCUGGGGUGAAAGCCCGUUGCUCAACAACGGAACUGCCCUGGAAACUGGAUGGCUUGAGUACAGACGAGGGUGGCGGAAUGGAUGCUGUAGCGGUGAAAUGCAUAGAUAGCAUCCAGAACCCCGAUUGCGAAGGCAGCUGCCUAGACUGUAACUGACGCUGAGGCACGAAAGCGUGGGGGAGCGAACAGG